GGGCAGGAUACUCAGAGGGCCACCCUGGACUUGUGAUCGUCCCACUCGGUGAUCGAAUUUGUUCUGGAAUAUCUCCACAAGCCGUUGACACUCCUGAAAUAUGCACAUUUUCAGAAUGUUCUGCAAGAGCACCAUUUCCGCAGCAGGAGACGACGAGGAGCAGGAGCUGCGCGGACCUCCAAGCCGGGAAGCCUUCUGCGCUCCCCCACGGGGCCAUGCCACCAGCCCGCGGCAGGCGACGAGAGCACGACCCGCCGCCACCGCCGCCGCCGCCCCCCACACGCAGCCGGAGCCGCCGGAGCCGCCGCCGCCGCGAGAGGGGCCGGGCAGAGCCCCGUCCCGCGUCCGCCGGAGCUGCCGCCUGGGGAGCGCUAGCGGCCCGCGCCCGCGCGCCUCUGCCGCCCGCCUGCCCGCGGAGCCAUGAGCCGCCGCCGGCCUCGGCCUCCUUCCCCCGCGCCGCGCCGCGCCGCUUCCUCCUCCCCGGCUGCGCUCCGCCGCGGCUGCGCACUGGCGGCCCGAGCGCAUGCAGUCGCUCCC
rnacentral:lncRNA from 1 species